UCACCGAGAAGCGCCCGUUCGCUGAAAUGGCCACGGGCAGCUCGUAUGUGGUGAGCCAUUCGGCUUCUUCGACAUGGGCGGCGUCCUUGAGAAUCUCUCCCGUAUCCAAGUCCCGGACAACGUUCCCGCCGCUCCAACCAUAAAAGAUCCCAUAUUGGCCGUCCGCCGAGAUGGCUGACGUUCCGCGCCAGACGUUUUCGAAUGCCGUUUCAAUGCCUGUGUCUCGAUCGAGCAGUCGCCGUCCUAGAACCAUUCGCGAGCCGUCGUAGGAGAUAUCGACGCGAUCAUCUCUAUCCGUCGAGUACAACUGCUCGCCGCUUU
rnacentral:misc_RNA from 1 species